rnacentral:rRNA from 1 species
CAGUCGAACGGCAGCACAGCAGUAGCAAUACUGGUGGGUGGCGAGUGGCGGACGGNNNNNUAAUGCAUCGGGACCUGCCCAGACGUGGGGGAUAACGUAGGGAAACUUACGCUAAUACCGCAUACGUCCUACGGGAGAAAGCGGGGGAUCAGUAAUGACCUCGCGCGGUUGGAUGGACCGAUGUUCGAUUAGCUUGUUGGUGGGGUAAUGGCCUACCAAGGCGACGAUCGAUAGCUGGUCUGAGAGGAUGAUCAGCCACACUGGGACUGAGACACGGCCCAGACUCCUACGGGAGGCAGCAGUGGGGAAUAUUGGACAAUGGGCGCAAGCCUGAUCCAGCAAUGCCGCGUGUGUGAAGAAGGCCCUCGGGUUGUAAAGCACUUUUAUCAGGAGCGAAAUCUGCCCGGUUAAUACCUGGGUAGUCUGANNNNNCCUGAGGAAUAAGCACCGGCUAACUCC